ensembl:lncRNA
CCAUGGUUCAGGACAUGGAUGACGAGUGUUGCGCAAAUUUCAUUUGAUAAAUUUGGGCCUUUGUAUCUUCAACCCUGGAACGUGCCACCUACCGAAGUACUCAGAUGACUCCUCCAUCGUGGGCUGCAUCAGUGAGGACAGGGAGGAAGAGUUCAGCGGUGUGGUGGAGGGCUUCGUCAGAUGGUCCGAGGAGAACCACCUCCAGCUCAACAUCGGCAAGACCAAGGAGCUGAUGGUGGACUUCUGACAGAGCAGGAAGCCCCCAACCCCCAUUACCAUCCUGGGGUUGAGGUAGAGACAGUGGACUUGUACAAGUUCCUUGGAGUGAGCAUAAACAAUAAACGGGACUGGAUGGACAACAACGAGGCCAUCUAUCGGAAGAAUCUGAGCAGACUCUUUAUCCCAAGGAGGCUCAGAUCCUUUGACGUGUGUGGCAGGCUACUAAAGAUGUUUUAUCAGUCUGUGGUAGCCAGCACACUGUUCUUUGCUGGGGCGUGCUGGGGAGGUGGCAUCAAGGCUGGGGAGUCCAACAGACUCAACAAGCUGGUGAGGAAGGCCAGCUCUGUUGUGGGGCUAGAACUGGACAGUCUUGAGGUAGUGGUGGAGAGGAGGAUGAAGGACAAAUUCAAGUCCAUCGUUGAUAACCAUCCCAUCCCCUCUAUGCUGAGCUGUGCCAGAUGGGGAGCACCUUUAGCCACAAAUUAAUUUCCCCCAGCGGAGCGCUUCAGGUGCAGACAGCCGAUAGUCUGUACAACAGCGCCU